UACGAAGGGGGCUAGCGUUGCUCGGAAUUACUGGGCGUAAAGCGCACGUAGGCGGCUUUCUAAGUCGGAGGUGAAAUCCUGGAGCUCAACUCCAGAACUGCCUUCGAUACUGGAGAGCUUGAGUCCGGGAGAGGUGAGUGGGAACUGCGAGUGUAGAGGUGAAAUUCGUAGAUAUUCGCAAGAACACCAGUGGCGAAGGCGGCUCACUGGCCCGGUACUGACGCUGAGGUGCGAAAGCGUGGGGAGCAACAGGAUU
rnacentral:rRNA from 1 species